GAUGAACGCUAGCGGCAGGCCUAACACAUGCAAGUCGAGGGGUAUAGUAGCAAUACUAGAGACCGGCGCACGGGUGCGUAACGCGUAUGCAACCUACCUUUUACAGGGGAAUAGCCCAGAGAAAUUUGGAUUAAUGCCCCAUGGUAUAUUUGAGUGGCAUCACUUGAUUAUUAAAGUUCCAACGGUAAAAGAUGGGCAUG
rnacentral:rRNA from 1 species